AAAAAGAUACCAAUUUUGAUUUAGUCCUUGGGAAGGUCCGGCCAAUUGGCCGUCAACCCUCCCCCUAUCUUCUCUUUAGUUAAAGCUCCUAUGAUAGUGUUUUUGCUGUUUUCUUUUUUUCUUUUUUCUUCGAUCUCUAUCGUUGAAGUUUUAGUACCCUCUUAGGAUGGGUUUUUGUUGGUGUUUAAGGGGGUUGCUCUGCAUGUUGCAGUAUUUCCUGUGGUUCACUAUGAAGCUUUAAAGAGCAGAUCGUCAACUGGCAGUCAGUGUGGUACCGAGCNNNUCAAGGCGAGUAUGCAAGGCCUAUGUUUGCCAAGCUUAUUCCCGGUUCAUCUGGCACUAGUCCUAGUCCCUGCUAUAUCCUAGUUUUGUUGCAAAUCUCCUCCAUUUUCCUCUUAGCUUUUAAACAUGGGAGAAUUAUGAAAUGAGUGGUGUACUUAAGCACUCCCUAUAAUGUUGUUUUCCUUUUCCUAUGCUUGAUUGAGUUAUGAAGAUCUCCUUUGGUGGUAGCAGUGAGUUGUUGAUGAAGAGGAGAUGAAGUCAGCUGAGGAUGAUGAUGGAAUCAGG
rnacentral:misc_RNA from 1 species